CGCUAUUCACCCGUUGACCCAAUCGGUUCAACCAAUAAUAAUUUUUGUUAGACAUGGGGAACAUAGUCAUAAAGAGCCUAGCUCCACUUCUUGGACACUUUGCAAACUAAUUUUACUGCUAAAAAGACCUUCUUUAAAACCUUUUAAUACAAUGACAUAUAGACUGUGAAGAAACAUAGUUCUUUAAUCUUUUUAAAUAAUGACUUCCAACACUUGACUCCUACAUGUAAAAUAACUAGAAGAGUGACAAUGACUACCGUCACCCAAAGAACAUUGUCUCCACAAAUUGUAAAUUGUGAAUUCGACUGCAUCUUGGUCCGCUUACUUUUAUUAAAAAAAGUUUUAAGCAUCGUGUAAGCGAAAGACGGGAUCACAUGCGUGCCCCCUGAAAGGAUGUUGGCUCAAUAAAAAAAGAUAAUCUCCAUACGUUACUUUUCUUCAAAGCAGGAUGAUCGAUAAAACAUAAUCCCUGGUAACAGUUGAUUUUCUUCAUUCCUUUUCCCAGUUUCAACGAGUGCAAGUUAUAACGAGGGAUGUAAAUGUGUGAUCUGAGAUCCUUGGAUAUGUGACGA
rnacentral:lncRNA from 1 species